rnacentral:rRNA from 1 species
AUUGAACGCUGGCGGCAUGCUUUACACAUGCAAGUCGAACGGUAACGCGGGGGCAACCCUGGCGACGAGUGGCGAACGGGUGAGUAAUACAUCGGAACGUGCCCAGUAGUGGGGGAUAGCUCGGCGAAAGCCGGAUUAAUACCGCAUACGACCUACGGGUGAAAGCGGGGGAUCGCAAGACCUCGCGCUGUUGGAGCGGCCGAUGGCAGAUUAGCUUGUUGGUGAGGUAAAGGCUUACCAAGGCGACGAUCUGUAGCUGGUCUGAGAGGACGACCAGCCACACUGGGACUGAGACACGGCCCAGACUCCUACGGGAGGCAGCAGUGGGGAAUUUUGGACAAUGGGCGCAAGCCUGAUCCAGCAAUGCCGCGUGUGUGAUGAAGGCCUUCGGGUUGUAAAGCACUUUUGGUGGGAACGAAACGGUCCGGGCCAAUACCCUGGACUAAUGACGGUACCUGCAGAAUAAGCACCGGCUAACUACGUG